UACACUAAUAAAUACCAUUGACAUUGUAGAUAUAUCACACGUCCUGCAGUUAUUGCUUUUUUUAGUUUUUUAUACUAUUCUUUACACAAGUUAUUGCGAUUACACAACAGAAUUGAAGAGGAGCGGCGAAGAUGCAACUAGAAGCCUUUCGUCACCCUGCGCUGCCAACACCGAUUCUAUCUUUGGUCUUGUUCCCCUUCAACACAUAUUAAAGUAAUAAAAGUUAUUAUUUAAUUAUGAGAGUCUCUCGAAACAUUGGUGA
rnacentral:lncRNA from 1 species